GCCAGGCACGGUGGCACAUGCCUGUAGCCCCAGCUACUUGGGAGGCUGAGGUGAGAGGAUCACUUGAACCCAGGAAUUCUGGGCUGUAGUGCACCAUGCUGAUCGAGUGUCCACACUAAGUGUGGACACUCAAUAUGGUGACCUCCUGGGGGCAGGGGACCAUAAGGCUGCCUAAGGAGUGGUGAACCGGCCCAGGUCAGAAACGGAGCGGGUCAAAACUCCUGUGCUGAUCAGUAGUGGGAUUGCACCUGUGCAUAGCUACUGCACUCUAGCCUGGGCAACAUAGUGAGACCCCAUCUCC
rnacentral:SRP_RNA from 1 species